rnacentral:rRNA from 1 species
UUGUUGGAGAGUUUGAUCCUGGCUCAGGACGAACGCUGGCGGCGUGCUUAACACAUGCAAGUCGAACGCUGAACCGGUUUCGGCCGGGGAUGAGUGGCGAACGGGUGAGUAACACGUGGGUAAUCUGCCCUGUACUCUGGGAUAAGCCUGGGAAACUGGGUCUAAUACCGGAUA